rnacentral:lncRNA from 1 species
AAGCUGGAGAACCAGAGAGGAAGGUGCCUGACCUUGUUCUGCUCCAGGCUCCCCAUCCAUGUGCACAGGCACAUAUCUCCACAGUCACAUGCAUGCACCACAUCCCCCCCGCACCACACCCACACGCAUCCUCAUCGACACAGCAGAGUGGAAGGAGGAGGGGAGGAGGAGCGAGGGGGAGGGGAGAAGUUACACUUUCUGAGAAGUCAGAAAGCCAGCAGGCUUAGCAAUGACGGUCUGUGGGCAACUGCGUGGAGAGAGUGGCUUCUGGGGUGUCUAAUUAUAUGUCUCACGAAGGGGCAACUAUCCCUUUCCUAUUUUUAGACACGUUUCCAGGUAUAUUGUGUUUCUAGAAGUUAAGACUUUUUGAGUGGCUCUUUUUUUUUUUCUGUCCAGGUGAUUUGCAGGACCGUUUUGAUUGAUUUAAGAGAAGAGACAAUAGAAAUCUCUAUGAUCUUAGAGCCUUUGGGGUAGUUUGAAAUAUCAUGCUUUUAGCCAGGGUCAAAGGUACAACUCAAAUUCCAUCCUUUUGGCUAAACAUCAUGUAAUAGAAUAGAUGCAAAAGCAGGGGAAAAAAGAAGAAGGAAAA